rnacentral:rRNA from 1 species
AGCGUAGACGGCAUUGCAAGUCUGGAGUGAAAACCCGGGGCUCAACCCCGGGAUUGCUUUGGAAACUGUGGAGCUAGAGUACCGGAGAGGCAAGUGGAAUUCCUAAUGUAGCGGUGAAAUGCGUAGAUAUUAGGAGGAACACCAGUGGCGAAGGCGGCUUGCUGGACGGUAACUGACGUUGAGGCUCGAAAGCGUGGGGAGCAAACA